rnacentral:misc_RNA from 1 species
GGUUUGAUUUUAUUACAUUUAAACAUUGUAGUUUGUUAGUAUAAUUGAUUACAUUCUACAAAACUGCUUGUUCUGGUUAGUUAUAGAGAAAAAUUUAAUGUUUUGGACUGCCAGUCAUCUAGCUUUAGAAAAGGCCAUCAUUGGAAACCACAGAAUGCAAAGUGUCCGCCGCUACAUAUUUAUUGUAAACCAUUAAAUAUAUGUAACUCUGCAAGAUUCUUGCAGAACCCAUGAAACUUCUUGAGCUCAUUAAUCACUGAUUUGGUUCCCUGCAUGAGUGAUAGAGUUGCCUUAAGUUUCUUACUCUAUUUUUCAUUUCUUUGAUACUGGAUGUGCUGUGAACAUCAAAUGUUGGAAUCAAUAACGAGUUUAAAUCCUGAGAAUUACAGAGAAGUUAUCCACGAGUCCCACUGCUAUUUGUUACCUUUUCUUAGACAUUGGCUUAAACACCUCAGUCAGAUAAUUAGUCAAGAGUUAUUUUAGCUAUGCAUGAGUUAGGAAAUUGACGAGAAACAUAAUUUCUCAGUGCACCAUGGUAAUUUUCAUGCUAAUAUACUCAUUCAUGUUUUUGAGGUCUUG